AGACCUGGAGAACAGUAAUGGACAGGUGAGGAGACCUGGAGAACAGUAAUGGACAGGUGAGGACACCUGGAGAACAGUAAUGGACAGGUGAGGAGACCUGGAGAACAGUAAUGGACAGGUGAGGACACCUGGAGAACAGUAAUGGACAGGUGAGGAGACCUGGAGAACAGUAAUGGACAGGUGAGGAGACCUGGAGAACAGUAAUGGACAGGUGAGGACACCUGGAGAACAGUAAUGGACAGGUGAGGAGACCUGGAGAACAGUAAUGGACAGGUGAGGAGACCUGGAGAACAGUAAUGGACAGGUGAGGAGACCUGGAGAACAGUAAUGGACAGGUGAGGACACCUGGAGAACAGUAAUGGACAGGUGAGGACACCUGGAGAACAGUAAUGGACAGGUGAGGACACCUGGAGAACAGUAAUGGACAGGUGAGGAGACCUGGAGAACAGUAAUGGACAGGUGAGGAGAACAGUAAUGGACAGGUGAGGAGAACAGUAAUGGACAGGUGAGGAGAACAGUAAUGGACAGGUGAGGAGACCUGGAGAACAGUAAUGGACAGGUGAGGAGACCUGGAGAACAGUAAUGGACAGGUGAGGACACCUGGAGAACAGUAAUGGACAGGUGAGGACACCUGGAGAACAGUAAUGGACAGGUGAGGAGACCUGGAGAACAGUAAUGGACAGGUGAGGAGACCUGGAGAACAGUAAUGGACAGGUGAGGAGACCUGGAGAACAGUAAUGGACAGGUGAGGACACCUGGAGAACAGUAAUGGACAGGUGAGGAGACCUGGAGAACAGUAAUGGACAGGUGAGGACACCUGGAGAACAGUAAUGGACAGGUGAGGAGACCUGGAGAACAGUAAUGGACAGGUGAGGACACCUGGAGAACAGUAAUGGACAGGUGAGGACACCUGGAG